rnacentral:rRNA from 1 species
CACGAACGCUGGCGGCAGGCUUAACACAUGCAAGUCGAGCGCCCCGCCAGGGGAGCGGCAGACGGGUGAGUAACGCGUGGGAAUCUACCCAUCUCUACGGAAUAACGCAUGGAAACGUGUGCUAAUACCGUAUACGUCCUUCGGGAGAAAGAUUUAUCGGAGAUGGAUGGGCCCGCGUUGGAUUAGAUAGUUGGUGGGGUAAAGGCCACCAAGGCAACGAAACAUAGCUGGUCUGAGAGGAUGAUCAGCCACACUGGGACUGAGACACGGCCCAGACUCCUACGGGAGGCAGCAGUGGGGAAUAUUGGACAAUGGGCGCAAGCCUGAUCCAGCCAUGCCGCGUGAGUGAUGAAGGCCCUAGGGUUGUAAAGCUCUUUCACCGGUGAAGAUAAUGACGGUAACCGGAGAAGAAGCCCCGGCUAACUUCGUGCCAGCCGCCGCCGUAAAAC